rnacentral:rRNA from 1 species
UACGUAGGGUGCGAGCGUUGUCCGGAAUUAUUGGGCGUAAAGAGCUCGUAGGCGGUCUGUCGCGUCGGUCGUGAAAACUUGGGGCUUAACCCUGAGCUUGCGGUCGAUACGGGCAUGACUGGAGUUCGGCAGGGGAGACUGGAAUUCCUGGUGUAGCGGUGAAAUGCGCAGAUAUCGGGAGGAACACCAGUAGCGAAGGCGGCACUCUGGGCCGUGACUGACGCUGAGGAGCGAAAGCGUGGGUAGCAAACAGG